rnacentral:rRNA from 1 species
GACGAACGCUGGCGGCGUGCUUAACACAUGCAAGUCGAACGGAAAGGCCCUGCUUUUGUGGGGUGCUCGAGUGGCGAACGGGUGAGUAACACGUGAGUAACCUGCCCUUGACUUUGGGAUAACUUCAGGAAACUGGGGCUAAUACCGGAUAGGAGCUCCUGCUGCAUGGUGGGGUUUGGAAAGUUUCGGCGGUUGGGGAUGGACUCGCGGCUUAUCAGCUUGUUGGUGGGGUAGUGGCUUACCAAGGCUUUGACGGGUAGCCGGCCUGAGAGGGUGACCGGCCACAUUGGGACUGAGAUACGGCCCAGACUCCUACGGGAGGCAGCAGUGGGGAAUAUUGCACAAUGGGAGGAAGCCUGAUGCAGCAGCGCCGCGUGCGGGAUGACGGCCUUCGGGUUGUAAACCGCUUUCGCCUGUGACGAAGCGUGAGUGACGGUAAUGGGUAAAGAAGCACCGGCUAACUACGUG